rnacentral:misc_RNA from 1 species
GUAUCCAGCGCACGCCUCUAUAAGCGCAAAACAAUGAGCGAUCACGGCAAAACGACUGCACUGCCUUGCAGUAGACACACCGCGCACAUCAAUCCUACCCUGAUGCCGUUCGUGGCACGGUCGCGCGUUUACACAAUGCAAACGGAUUCCUUAAUGGCGAACGCGUUCGAAAACUAUGCGCCCUUGCUUGUGUCGCAGGUGGUGUGCACGAUGGGCUGCGGGGUGAGCAAAGUGCACGCCGCCGCCGAUCCUUCGUCGCAGCAGCCCAAGCGAGGUUUCGCGGCCCAGGUACGCUGGUCACAGGACGCCUCCAAGCGAUCCACUCCGACGGCACUCACCGAGCGACUGGUAGACGCCCAGGUACAGGUGGAGAACAAGUACGAGCAGCGUGACCGCGUCACUCAGACUGACAUCCACUUCAACAUGACCCGUGGCAACUACAACGAAGACGACCUCGACUUCGACGAGGACGGCCUGUCGUCGUUCGGCGACGACUACACCGACGAAGGCGUCGUCGAGAACGGGGCUUCACCCGGAGGCUCGCGCGAGGGCAUCCGUUUCGCCGACCCGAGGCUGGUGGCUCCCGCGGACGGCGACUUGACGAACCGCAGCAGCACACCGGUUGCCUUGAACACACCGGCGUCCAAGCAGCAGAUGCUCAUGAUGGACGCCGAGCAGAGGAUACUGAUGCUCAGCAAGCGCAUCCACCUGGACAUCGACAUGACGCCCCGAAGUGUGGCCACUACCGACGUCGGAGUGCAGGCGGGAAGCGGCCGCAACAACAGGUGGACGCAGACUGAGCGUUGUUCAGCGGCGGCGCGAGGGGGCGCCCUGCAGCAUCCGCCGAUGGGGCUACCUCCCGAUGCAAGCGGGGCUGCGCGACUCUCGCGCACCACGGACAUCGAGUCGCAGACCGAUCCAGUGAGCAGGGCGCCCGCAGCUAACGCUGCUGGAGGAGGACAGAACGAGUCUCUGUCGGACGAGGAGCUGUCGUCGCCGUUGACGCACAUCGAGAAGAUGAUCGGGGCCACGGAGAGCGGAGGCCUGAGCGACGCCGUCGCUCAGAUCCUCGAGGACAUGGACGCCGAGCCUCGGCCCACGACGCGGCCGCGCACACGCAGGACGGCGACGGGCGUCACGGUUCGGGCCGUGAGCAGGCGGGACACCGGCGUGCAGACCGUCAACGACCCGGUGACCGACGAGGCGCCCGAGUACGCCGCACGACCGCCGCCCUGCAAAAAGCGCGAGAUGAUCCCUUCCAUGGCCGUCUUCCAGGAGGUCGACAGGAUCGCCCUGAAGGUUCCUAACACUGCCAAAUCCACCCUGCAAACCCUGGUCUAUCACCUGAUUUCUUACUGCAGAAACGAUCUGCAGAAGAUUCGCAUGUUUUUCCGCUGGAUUGCAGAAAACAUAACGUACGACUGGAGGCACAUGGAAACCAAGCAAACUCCCGAAGAGGUGUUCGUAUCAAGGCAAGGUGUGUGCAAGGACUACUGCCUUCUGCUGAGCGAAAUGUGCAGGCUAGCAGGCAUCAGAGAAAAGACUUUACAAGGCUUCGCCAAGGGUUUCGACUACCGUCCAGGACACCAGUUUCAUCCGGGCCAGGACGUAACACAUGCAUGGAACGCGGUCUUCAUCCUAGGAGCAUGGAGGCUUAUCGACGCCACUUGGGGAACAGGAUACACAGAUCACACGGGGAAGUUUAUAAGGAAAAUCAACGAACACUUCUUCGUCACCGACCCUGAGGUGCUCAUAUGGACGCACUUUCCUUACGACGAGAUGGAGAAGAAUUACUCAAGGUGGCAGCUACUGGACAAGCCCCUGACUCUCGAAGAGUUCAACUCGCUUCCAAAGGUGACGCCGCACUUCUUCCAGCUCAACAUGCGCUUGCGAACGCGGCCGCAGAACCCCAUCACGUUCAAAGUGCGCACCGAGCUGCGGAUCGCCUCGCACGAGCCGAUGCGCUACAAGUUCAAGCUCUACCCGUCUGACGAGACGGAGAACGCGGCGCUCAACAACUACGUAUUCUGCCACCUACUCGAAGACCGGUGCGUGGCCUGCUUCGGCGUCACACCGCCCACGGAAGGACAGUACAUCCUCAAGAUCUACGCCAACCGUGAGCGUGAAAUGCGGGCAGCCGCCGAUGGCGGCACGGCUCCCGCAAGCGCCAGCCUGCAGAACAUUGGCGUCUUCCUGCUAGAAUGCCUCCGUGCCAAGAAAUACCUGGUGCCGUACCCACUCAACGAGGUCCCGUGGGGCCCCACACAAACCUUCUACGACUACAACAUGCGGCUCGUCGAUCAGUCGGGGCCCGUCAUUGUGUCGUGGGGUGCCAAGCGAAAGCUCACCAUCGACCUAUCCGAAGCGAUGCUCGUCAGCCAUCAGCUGCUCGAUGCCGAUGGUGUCGAGAUGGAGCUCAAGGGCAUGAUCACCCGCGAGGACAAGGACCGUCGCGUCACGUUCCAGAUAGUGCCGCAGCGUGUGGGCAUGUUCAAGCUCGUCAUCUUCGCCAUGCCCAAGCCGAAGUUCAAGGGCAAGUGGCGGCUUCCCCUUGUGGCAACUUUCCUCAUCGACUGCAAGCUUACCAGGUUACAGUUGGACGAAGAGCUGCGGCUGGCGCACCACAGGCCACCGCUCCCGGAAGAAGACAAAGAAAAGGAGAAUGAGAAAGAGAAAGGCAAGAGGGUACGAAUAUCGACAGUGCGAUAAGAGACUUGCCACGACGAUUCGAUUACUUACUUCCAGGAUUGAUCUGUCGGCGCGAAUUCACUGUGCAAGCAUCCCUGGGAUGUGAAGACUUGGUACAACCUCUCAGGAAAGAAGGGCGACGUGAUGAGGUCGGCAUCCAUUUUCCAAGCGUGCUCCCCCAGGCGCAGACAGUCUGACCACUGGCCAACCAUGGGACAUCAGUUGUUCUCUUCUUGCCAAGAAAUGGCCGACUGAAGCCUGUCAUCUUCACAGUGCUGUGCCUUGGUCUCCCGCUCCACUCCUACAAUAAGAUGAAGUCUCUCCAUUGCCACGGCGGCGUGCAUUUCGCCACUCUCCACUGGUUUGCUAACGGAACGAUGCUUUUCAGGUAGUAUUACAACGAGUGACUGCUACUAUACACAAAAUAUCCGUAGCGUUCGUGGUUCUUCCGUGCACUAAGUGGAAUGCAUGAAACACAUUACUAGUUGCGAUUCUUCCAAGCCUCGGUGACGGAUGUCUGUACCAGAGACAAACGUUUUAUAGGCUGUUUUCUGGUAGAGAGCUCGGGUUCCUUUCCUUGAGGGGAGGCCAUGUCUGCAUGUCUUUGCUUGUCCCUUCAGAGUGCCGUUCGAGAAUCGAUGGGCUCAUGUCUGAAUUCCCUGGACUACCUCGUAUCGAAGGUUGGUUCUUAGGCCAUAUCCUCCUUACUAUUAUAACUCAGCGGCAGACAGUCGCUGGUAUCGUCUCUCUUUGCUGGAAGUCGAAGUUUCUAGUCUUCGCACAAGCAAUAUAUCUUAGUUCCAUGUGAAAAGAGCUCAUGUUUAAUGCUAUUGUCAUAUUAAGGUAUAUCCCUCAAACGUUGCUAUAACGUGUGGUCCUUCGGUAAUUACGAUGUCACUGUCACUUGAGAUUGAUUGUAAGCGGCACACCAAUGACGCUGACGACCAUGACUCCUAUUACUGCUGCGGAUAUAUCAUCUAGCAAUAAAGCGUAAGACUAACUUUCAAAACUUAGUUUAUUAUGCAACAUUAAAUACACAGAAAAGUUCAUACUGUCAUAGCUAUGUGCAUGCUGCUAUUCUCAGUCUGGAAAUAGCUUGAAUGGUUCGUAAUAGGCCUGGACUUACUUAGCCGGUGUCCGCAGGACGUUUCGGCAGUGCAACGCUGUAAAUAUGAUGCUCUAAUUGCUGAAACACAACCAUGUUCAUUCGGUUCUGGCCCUAGAGGAGUGACUGGAUGACUCCAGAAAGGCCAUGUUUUCUGUAACGUACCCAUGUUUAAAUGCGUUCUGCGCAUAUGGCCGGCAACUAUAGAGUCAAAGUGCCUUCUGGUAGCUUGGUCAUCAUCGUAUCUUGACGCUAAGAUGUGCAUAUUGCACAAAACUUAAAACGACCUUAAACGGUAAGCAACACUAAGCACUUCAUUGUGACACAGAGAACCAGCAAUUUUUACAUUGCUUUUGCACUAUUGUAAAUAAUUCACUUGAAAAUAAACUGUUCUUGUUGAACAUAA